rnacentral:rRNA from 1 species
ACGCGUGGGAAGUCUGCCCUUGGGUUCGGGAACAACAGUUGGAACGACUGCUAAUACCGGAUGAUGACUUCGGUCCAAAGAUUUAUCGCCCAAGGAUGAGCCCGCGUAGGAUUAGCUUGUUGGUGAGGUAAAAGCUCACCAAGGCGACGAUCCUUAGCUGGUCUGAGAGGAUGAUCAGCCACACUGGGGACUGAGACACGGCCCAGACUCCUACGGGAGGCAGCAGUGGGGAAUAUUGGACAAUGGGCGAAAGCCUGAUCCAGCAAUGCCGCGUGAGUGAUGAAGGCCUUAGGGUUGUAA